CGGAGACAGGUAUAAAUACGGUUGAGAAAGUAUUGAUAAAAUUCACUCAAGAAACUAAAGAAGCCUCCUCAUAUCUAAGAUUAUUACGUCAAUUUUUAAGAAAAAAAAUAUGACCGGAAAAAUUUUAAUCGUGUUGGCCGUACUGGUCGUGUUGGGUGCGGUGACUGAGACAAGUGCUCAUCCCCUCGCGAUAAUGGAUCUAGCUGACCCGGAGGCGGCUGAGGGUCAAGAUGCAAUUGAAGCUGGGGAGAUGCGUGUAAUGGAGAAGCGAUCACCAUUUAAAUGUUUUUCUUGUGGGUGAAGCCGUAAAACAGUAGCAAUUUUGAGAAUUUUAGCUCAAUUCUUGCAGAAAUUAAAAUCCCGUAAGAAAAAAAUUACUCAUAAAUUUAUAAUCUUCAAAAUUUAUUUACAUAUCUUAAUAAAUAUGUAAAAUUCUGAUACUUUGAAUUGAUGAUAACAAUUUAUAGCGAACUGUAUGUAUAAUUGGACAAUAAAUGAUUUACAUGUUUGUUAAGAAUUACGUACGCACAUAUAAAA